CCUACGGGAGGCAGCAGUGGGGAAUAUUGCACAAUGGGGGAAACCCUGAUGCAGCGACGCCGCGUGAGUGAAGAAGUAUUUCGGUACGUAAAGCUCUAUCAGCAGGGAAGAAAAUGACGGUACCUGACUAAGAAGCCCCGGCUAACUACGUGCCAGCAGCCGCGGUAAUACGUAGGGGGCAAGCGUUAUCCGGAUUUACUGGGUGUAAAGGGAGCGUAGACGGCAGCGCAAGUCUGAAGUGAAAUCCAAUGGCUUAACCAUGGAACUGCUGUGGAAACGGUGCCGCUGGAGUGCAGGAGAGGUAAGCGGAAUUCCUGGUGUAGCGGUGAAAUGCGGAGAUAUUAGGAGGAACACCAGUGGCGAAGGCGGCUUACUGGACUGUAACUGACGUUGAGGCUCGAAAGCGUGGGGAGCAAACAGGAUUAGAUACCCCGGUAGUC
rnacentral:rRNA from 1 species